AAAGUGUGUAAAAAAGGGGUAAAAAUGUGGAAAGAAGUGGAAAAUUACCAUAAAGUAGAUACAACUAAAUUAAAAAAAAAAGAUUGAACAGCCAUCAACUUAAAAUAGUACAAAGAUCAUAUAGCUGUUCUCUAAAAUUAAUAUAUUUUGAAUGAAAUAGUUCAAAGCUGAUGUUUUUUUCCAACGGAUGUCAAUGAAUGUGCAUAAAAAAACAGAAGGUACAGACUCCACACAGACAUCUGUAGCCUUCACCCUACUAGACAACAGAUCUGAAUAUGUGCGCCCAGAGGCAUGUGAGAUGCAUCUUUGGAAACAGCUGCACAUUGGAUGCAUACUGGUCCCAACAGCUGCACAACAGUGUUUUAGAAACAGCAAAAAGACAUCAAGUAUGAUUGCAUAUUACACUUCAUUCAUUUUGGCAGAAUUAAACCAAAGUAAUCAAGGACUGCAUCUACCUAAACACAAGUUUAAAAUUAUUAUUUUUUUUUUAAUCUGCAAAUACAGGAUUUUAUUUUAAAAUGCAUUCUGAGGUUAUGCUCUAAAAAUAUAGUAUUAUAAAUCAGAAUAGGUUAAUUUAAUUAAAAAAAUGAUUAUAAUAAAUCAGAAUAAACAUUAAAUUAGUUAAAAGUAAAGAUAACACAAAAUAGAAAAGUGCAAAACAGUUUAAACUUUUUUUUAACCUGCCAUUCAGUUUAAAAGACAUACAGCGCAGUGAUUUUUAUACUUCAGUUAAGACUUCUUAGGAUUUGCUUUUAUACUGUCAGUUUUAACAAAGUUUUUAAAAAUCUGUCAAUAAAAAAACUAACUUAAAAAAAAACUAAAAAAAACUUAGAGAUCCCAGCUAACAGGUUGAAGAAAGUUGAGAAAUGAAAUAGAGGAAAAACACUAUAAAGUCCAGCUUUAAUGCUUCUUUUUCAAUUUUGAAAAAAGGUAAAUAAUUAUAAAAUUGGUAGAAAAUCAUCUCUGCAACUGACCACUACUGAUAAUGAUGCUUACAUACGUAUAAGGUGACGUGCCACCAACGUCUUAAAGUGGGAGGGAUAUCAUCCUACAAAUACGUGCGACCUAAGCCACCCGCCAUCCAAAUUUGCCAAAUAUCUAGAAACCACUUGAAAAUGUGAGAUCCAUAUUUUUUUUUUCUAAAAUGAGGAAUAGACACCAAAGAAAACUCAUGAGAAGGAGACAGAAAUUCAAACUUAGGAAACCUAACUACAUCUGAGUGGAUCAGAGGUCAGAAGCAAAGGAGAAAAAGGAGUGUAGGAGGAGAACUCAUCCCGGGGAUGGUGGGAGAUACCAAGUUACAAUUGAACCACAAGAGAGAAAGCGAAUGUGACCAAAGGAAGUGAGCCAGUUGUCCCAGCAGGAGCACAGCAUCAGACGCGCAAUAAUCAGGAGGGAAUUAGAGUCAUUAUGGCUAGAAGGGUAAUGGAGGACAAGUCCUUCACUCCAAAAAUGGGAGAAAGAGGUUUGUUCAGUUGUAGGAAACUAGAUUUAUUCUGUUGUAUAUAUACUAAGAUCUUCUCCACAAAAGAAAAUAAAAAAUAUGAAAAUGCAAAGGUAAUUUUGCAACCACCUGCACAUAGAUGGUAAAAUAUAUUUUUAAUAAUUUCACCAUUUUUUUUUUAUGAUUCUGUCUUGCAAAUGCUUCCAGGUCUGUGUAUGUUCAAACUGAAGUGAUUAUUGUUUCAAAUUUAACAUUUUCAAUUGCUUCAAUCUGCCCCAGCACAAAAAUGUAAUACAUAAACCUGAAUGUGCUCUUCUAAUGUUUGCAGAUGUUCCUAAUUUUGAUCUUGAAUUUAGUCAGAUGUUUUUCCCAUUUUUUGCCAAUACUAUCCAAUAACUUUUUAUUGCUUGAUCAAGAAUAGUGAAAUACUCCACUGUAAAAACAGGCUUCCUUGAAAUUAGUCAAAUAUUCUUUAAGAAAAAAGUCUUUAAAUAAGCAAAAAGAAAUCUGUCAAUGGGGUAAGAAAUGUUGUUUCAUAAAGAAAUAUUAAGAUUUUUUUCUGCCAUUUAAAAACUUAGAUAAAAUUAUUCUCCUGGCAAGAAAGGAAAUAGGAAUGCUUCUCUAAGCCGUUUUUGUUACAACUGGAAUGAUGGAAACCCAAGUGCAGAAAGGAAUCAGGCUGAGUCUCUAGAAUGCGCCAAAAAGCAAUUUAAUUAAUGACAAAAAAAUGUAGGUGGGAACAAAAAUCCAAUCUCCUCACUGGAGGGAAAACUGCAAAAGGUAAAAAAUAUGAACUAAACAAAGACACAAAAAAACCAAAGGACAAGCAGACCUCAGUGUCAGGUGAGCAAGAGAACCACAGAGCUAACAGGGACGCACCCACAAUGGGGACUGAGUGACUUCAACUUAAUAAGCUUAAAUACAAUGUGCAAGCAGCUGUGCACUCUUCCACAGAGAGUACCAGGUACAGGAGGGAGGAACCAUCCAGGAGACGUGACAGCUGAGCUGCAAAACAUAGAAGCAGUCAGAAACAGAACAAAAACACCAAACUGAGACAGUUUGACUUUCUAAAGAUUCCGUUUUUGUCGUGUGACACCGUAUUUCUUUGUGUAGUCUGUUGAGUUUUGUUUUUUUUUGACACAUUAUAUGUAGUAGUAUUAUUAUUAUAUCAGAAAAGUUUUAUCAGAAAAGUAAGUUUUAAACUACCAUAAGUUGUACUUAUUAGAAUAAUUUCACACAUCUCAAGGAGAAAAAUGUCAAAACAAUUGGCUCCUAUUUUUUUCCCCUUUGGCCAAGAUUUUCAUACUUGUUCAUUUUGUUUGAGCGGGAAGUUUCUUUUUCCAGAGUGACCCUCACAUAGGAAUUCUCCUCCGUUACCAUGACCCUGCCUUUGAGUCUCCAUCAUCUCAUUAACUUGUGGCGGGCAGCCUGAGCAGCUUCCAUUAUCUUUAUACAGACAGAGCAGAAGUUAAAAAUGGAAGAUGGACUGAGUAAUUACGUGCUUUUUAAGCAAGGUCAGCAUGCAGACUCUGAACACACUGUCCAGACGGACUGUAUAGGUUAAACACACAAAGCACAAUGGAAACACUUUUCUUUGUUCACGUUUUGCAAUUAAAAGUCUAAUUUCAGCCAUGAAAAUGUGCAAAACUGGAGAGAACAAUAAAAUCCCAAAGUGUGUGAUCUCUAAAAUAAUGAAGUCGAUAUAAGUGUUUUGUUUUUCCUCUUGGUUAAACAUGUAAAUUUUACUUCCAUUAACUGCCAAAUGACAGUCUUUUGUUCAUUAAUGGGAUGUCAAAGUGCAAAUUAGUUCACCAAUUUGUUUUGUACCACUCUGCCAACCAAAUGAUCACAUUCUGGUUGUAAAGUAGAAGAGUAUUUGAUUAUUAACUCAGUUAGCAGUUUUUUUCCCCCUUCGAACUUCACUGUUAAUGAUUAAAAAUACACUCACAUUACAUCAGUUUGUAUAAUGCAGAUGUGUUAAUGACACUUUAAUUAGACUUGGGCUCUUCUCCUCCCCCACCACAGGGGCAUGGAAGAAGACACAUUUAAUUAGACGACUCAGCAUCAUUCAAAAUCAUUGCAAAAAGUAUUCAUCUUAACUUUAAGAUUCUAUUUUACAAAACAGAAAAGAACAAGUUAAAAAAGACUUAAAAACAUGACAAGAAAUAAGAAGACAUGAUACAUUGAAGUAUGUGUUGCCUGAAAGUUAUUUUGGAACAUCUAAUUUUAUUUUUUUUUAAAGUGAAUUUAGUUUUGUAGACUGAGACUUAUAAAUAAACUAAUGAUGUUUCAGUUUCACGAUAUGAAAUUUCACCCUAAAAGUUUAUCAAUAAACAAAGAAAAACUAUGUUACAUUAAAAAAAGACAAAAUCUUCAAUCAACAUGCAGCUGCAUGGACAUUUAUUCUGUGUCACUAAAGAUUUAAAAAAAUAAAAAUACUAAGUAUAGGAAAUGUAUUUUUAACACCAUCAUAACAACUGGAUAUUAUGUUGUAAAAAAUGAAAGUAUGAUAUUUUCCUCCUCAUCAGCAUAUUGAUCUUCUUCAUCAGGUCAUCUUGAGAGCUGGCUCAGGCAGGUGUGCAUAUUCAAAGACUCUCUACAGGCCAACAGAAUGAUGACAACCACAGAAAAUCUAAUGAUGCUACGUUUUGCCUUCCUGGCACAACUUUCUCCUUUAUAUGUCUGGUCAAAAGGGAGCACAUUUUGUAUUUAAAAAUAUCUAAAAGAGGGGUUCAAAUUAUUUCAAUUUUAAUCAUCCUGAAGCCUUUAUUUUGUCCAAAGUUCUUCUUUGUGGGAAAAAAUGCAAACCUUUUUAUUUUUUUUGUUUUCUUUUGUGUCUUGAAGGAGCCAAAGUGUAUUUUUCUGCGUUUGUUGAGAUGCUUUUGUCAUUUAAUAUCAUGGAGGUUCAAUAAAACAGAUCUAAAGGUUUCACUAAA